UACGUAGGGUGCAAGCGUUGUCCGGAAUUAUUGGGCGUAAAGAGCUCGUAGGCGGUCUGUCGCGUCGGCUGUGAAAUCCCGGAGCUCAACUCCGGGUCUGCAGUCGAUACGGGCAAACUGGAGUACUGCAGGGGAGACUGGAAUUCCUGGUGUAGCGGUGAAAUGCGUAGAUAUCAGGAGGAACACCGGUGGUGUAGACGGCUCUCUGGACCGCCACUGACGCUGAGACACGAAAGCGUGGGUAGCAAACAGG
rnacentral:rRNA from 1 species